rnacentral:misc_RNA from 1 species
UUUAGCGAUCAUUUUCAUAUUGUUAAUCGUUUCAGAAACUUCAAACGCAAAACUAUUCGAUUCCAGGAAGUUAGUUGAUUUGGCUCCAAUACAAAGCACCAAUUCAUCUUCUGAACAGAUUUCUGCAUCAAAUACUCCAGUUGAGGGUGAAAAGGAAGUCAAUGGAAGCACAGUCAAUGAUAACAAGUCUGUUAUCGCAAAAGAGAAGCCUGAAAAUCCUAAGGGAAACAAUGAUCCACCAAAAACAAGGCCAGAGGAACUAAAUUCAACUUUAG